rnacentral:rRNA from 1 species
AUGGGGGACGUGCAGACGGGUGGCGCGGAGACGGAGACAUUCGAGUUCCAGGCGGAGAUUAACCAGCUGCUCUCGCUCAUCAUCAACACCUUCUACUCCAACAAGGAGAUCUUCCUCCGUGAGCUCAUCUUCAACUCAUCAGAUGCGCUUGACAAGAUCAGGUUCGAGAGCCUGACGGACAAGAGCAAGCUCGAUGCGCAGCCGGAGCUCUUCAUCCGCCUCGCCCCCGACUAG